rnacentral:rRNA from 1 species
ACUCCUACGGGAGGCAGCAGUGGGGAAUAUUGGACAAUGGGGGAAACCCGUGAUCCAGCAAUGCCGCGUGAGUGAUGAAGGCCUUAGGUUGUAAAGCUCUUUUACCAGGGAUGAUAAUGACAGUACCUGGAGAAUAAGCUCCGGCUAACUCCGUGCCAGCAGCCGCGGUAAUACGGAGGGAGCUAGCGUUGUUCGGAAUUACUGGGCGUAAAGCGCACGUAGGCGGUUACUCAAGUCAGAGGUGAAAGCCCGGGGCUCAACCCCGGAACUGCCUUUGAAACUAGGUAACUAGAAUCCUGGAGAGGUGAGUGGAAUUCCGAGUGUAGAGGUGAAAUUCGUAGAUAUUCGGAAGAACACCAGUGGCGAAGGCGGCUCACUGGACAGGUAUUGACGCUGAGGUGCGAAAGCGUGGGAGCAAACAGGAUUAGAUACCCUGGUAGGAUAGCG